UUCACAAAAGUAGCGGAUAGAAGUGAGCACAUACAAAAGACGCUUAAGUAAUCAGAGAAAUCCGAACAAUGAGAUUCUAGUCACGCUUUGUCCAUGGCCCAAGAAGAAAAAUGACGAUCAAUCUCACUGGUGGUAGUUGAGAAAAUGUACUCGCAUGGCAAUUGAACUGCAAAUGAAUGGAUAAAGAAAUCACGGUACAUAUACACAAUGAAAAGAAAAGAUGAAAUCAUACAGUUCACUGCAAUGUGAAUGGACCUGGAAGGUGUCAUGUUAAGCGAACAGGACAAAAAGAGCAGCCUAUGGAUGCCUCCCAUUGAAGACAUUGAUGUAUAACCAUCCACGACAAGAAAGCUGCCUGGGUGAUCCAUGCCUCCUUUGCUACAACACCACGUAGAUCCUGGUCACUGGACUGGCCUUUCCAAACUCUCCCACUCAGCGUGAUGUUCCUGCACCCCUGCUCCCAGUGUGUGAAUCCCCAACACAGGACCCUCGACAUCCUGGGUGGCCUCGGUGUCAUGCUGAAAAGGCUACUAUCUACACUGCUGGAAACAUCACCUGGGACUCCUGACAUCCAAGGGGAGAUGAGACUGUACUUGGUGUUGGUCAAUUUUGGAUGACUGUUUCCCCUUGGGGGGUGCUUGGUGAAGGACUACAACAAAGUAUUUGGAAAUUGGCAUUGGCCAUGACUAAGGACAAUACUCGUCCUGAUAAUCAAGAGAACUUUGAACUUGAGGGGGAGGGAGAUGUUAAUGUACAAGUGUCUGUUGAUGGGAGAAAUCGGCGUUAUGGAGGAUUGCUUAAGGCAUGUGUACCAUUCUCUUGGGGUCUUAUGAUAGGAAAUGUGAAUAUAAGUAAGGCAAAAUCUGGGUGGAAUAUUACAUGUGAGAAUUGUACAUUAUCUAACUGUGUGAUGGGAAUAGGGGAUGAUAAGCAGGUUUUGAUUGUGCACCAACCUGCAUUUUCACUUGUUCCCACCAAUAUUUCUGGGGAAUAGGUAGAUGAGUGUGGGAUAGAUAUCUGGAGAAAAAUCACUAAUGCAUUGGCUAGAAAAAAGAGAUUUGUUGGAAUGAUGGUUGCUGGGAUUCUUGCUCUCAUUGCUAUGAUUGCUCCAGCAACCACUGCUGGAGUUGCUUUAGCCAGAGAAGUUCAGACCGCUCAUAAGCAAACAUGAUGAGUAAGGCUCUCAUUAUUCAGGAAGACAUAGACAGAAAGAUGGAAGAGCGAUUGAAUGCAUUAUGGGACACUGUGCAAGUUAUUGGGGGAUGAAGUACUUGCAUUGAGAGUGAAGACUAGCCUCCGCUGUCACAAAGCAAUAUCAGUGGAUAUGUGUGACCCACAAGAAAUAUAAUGAUACCCAAUACCCUUGGGAGAGAGUUAAAAAUCAUGUAUUGGGGAUUUGGCAUCACGCUAAUGCUAGUCUGGACUUGAUGCAGUUGCAUCAGGAGAUAUUGGAUCUCCAAAAUUCCCCUCCUCUACCUGAAGGAGAUUUAACAACAGAUUUCUUACAGGCUCUUGAUAAGGUUUUGGAUCCAGCUUAGAUGAUGCACGCAUUAGUGGGUUUAGGUCUUGGCAUCGCAGGUUUAUAUAUAACUUUUAUUAUUGUACCUUGCUUGCUUAAAAAUGUUGUUUUUAAUAUUCAAGAUUGUGGUUCCAUGUACAUACUCUGCAAAUUAGAACUGGACAGCCUGUCCAGCUUUGAGAAAGGAAAGGGGGAGAUGUUGGGGACGGGCCUGGGCACCCCCCGUCUCUGUCCCUGUAAACAGAGACUGGGUGAGGAGGGGGCCUUGGCACUCCCUACCUUAGUUCUUGUAAACAGAAACGAGAAUGGAGAAACUUGGCGUGAAGGCAAGUCAUCUCCUGACAGUUGACCUUGACAGGCAGCUGAAGGGCCACCAUGCUCUGGCGGCCAGCCUGGAAAGGGGGUCAAAGGGCCACCAUGCUCUGGCGACCUGCCUCGUGAGAAAAGUUAAAGGGCCACCAUGCUCUGGCAGCUGGACUCAAGAGGAGGCUGAAGGGAGGAUUGGCUCAUGUCUGCCAUGGCCAUCCUCAAGGCCACAUAUGCUUUCCCAUGUUUCUCAAGGCUGAGAGAAGGAACCGAAAGACAAGUAAUAUUGGCAAAAAUAAAGUUGCCUGCACCGCUUGAUUAAUAAUGUUUGUGCCACUUAUGUAACCUGCUGAUCGUUGCUAAAAUAAGACUAUAUAAACCUGCUUGGAUUUCAAUAAACUUGCUGUAUGCCGUAUAUUGCAUGCAGUCCUCCCUAGCCCACUCAACUCUCAUUCCCUCUCUCCGGCCGAGGUUCAAGUUGGCCGCGCGGGCUGCGGCAGUGUGCAAUGCAUUACUUCUUAGAGGACAUGCUUAGUUAUUCAUUCCAAGACUUGAAGGCCUUUCUGACAAGAGUUUUAGUGAUAAAUAACAGUUAAUAGAAUGUUUGUGAUACUUUCAUAGUUAUUUGCUAUGCAUUGGCAAAUAUUUUAUUGCAUUUUCACAACUAUUCAUUAUUCGCUUUUGAGAAUUAUAAAAUAAGAGAUUACAAGAUUUUAAGUCAUUUGCUCAAGUCCACAAUUCAAAUAACAGAACUAGAAUUAAAAUCUAGCCAAUUCAAUUGAAACUUGAGUUCUGUGGGCCUAUAUUUGAAUAAGUAGUUUGUAAAAAUAUAUUAAUUUUGGCUACUGAU